UGCUUCUAAAUGUGUCAUAUUUUCUGUGCUCUCUCCGUUAAUUGACAGAAUGACAUCACCUGCGCAAAGGUUGGCAAAAGCAGCUUUACUUCCAGGAUUAAUCUGCAUGAAAGAGAGAGAAGAAAGUUUGUGGGAGACAAUGAAGUAAAGAUCCUAUGAGCCAAGACCUUGGAAUUGAGAUGGUCAGCAUUUAUGUUUUACCAAGAAAACAGUUGGCGCAUUUAGGUUGCUCUCCAGUUCGUAAGAGUUCAGGUACAUGGGCUUAUCUCUUUCUUUGAAAAGUGCAGCCAAUAAUAUGAACAUCUCUCAUAACUGUAUUGGCUUUAAACAAUUCAUUUUGGGGGUUUAAAAACCUAGCUGUGGGUUUGAAACUUGGUACACAGUCCUACAUAAAACUAUUUGGAAGCUAGAUUCUCAAUGUGACACAUUCAGUGUAAAAUAGUUAAGUACUAACAUGCUUUGCUGUAUUUGGUGGUGUCACUGCACUGGACAUGUUUAUCAGAGCAGAAUUGAAAAGGUCAGACUACUAUUGUUCUGGAGGUAUAGGUUUAGAAUUUCAUAAGACAAAUGAGGUGAUUUUUUCCCCUUUAUAUUUGCAAUACAUGCAUCAAAGUUCAGUAAGAGCAAGGACUCUCAUUAUCCAAAGGCACCCUUUCUGAAAUUCACCCUAGUGAAAUAAUGCUCUUGGGCAAGUAAAAAAAAAAACCAAAAAAAAAAAACCCAAACUGGCAUGUAUAAAAAUAUUUUAUUUCUGUUUUCUUUUUAUCCUCUUCCCAAUUUUAAGGAGAUGCCCCAAACCCAUUCUGGAUGUCAAAACCUAAGUAUCCUGUAGAAGUUUCAGUAGAGUAAAGCAAGGGAUGCCAGAAACUCAGAAAACUGCAGGAUGGAACUGCGAGGGUUUGCCCUUGAUCAAGGGAGGAGUAAAGAACAGUUGUCCUUCUGCAUUUGCUGUUUUUAAAUUUGUGGAUUUGAUUAUUCAUAUAUUUGAUUAGAUUCUGUGGCCAACUUACAGUGGAGGUUGGAAGGUAGAAAGUUGGAAAUGUGUUGUCUCAAGUUUUUUUAAAAAAUUAAUCAAAAUAUUUUAUUGAGAUUUACGUACAGUAGAGUCUCACUUAUCCAACAUAAACAGGCCGGCAGAACGUUGGAUAAGUGAAUAUGUUGGAUAAUAAGGAGAGAUUAAGGAGAAGCCUAUUAAACAUCAAAUUAGGUUAUGAUUUUACAAAUUAAGCACCAAAACAUCAUGUUAUACAACAAAUCUGGCAGAAAAAGUAGUUCAAUACGCAGUAAUGCUAUGUAGUAAUUACUGUAUUUAUGAAUUUCGCACCAAAAUAUCAUGAUAUAUUGAAAACAUUGACUACAAAAAUGUGUUGGAUAAUCCAGAACGUUGGAUAAGCAAGUGUUGGAUAAGUGAGACUCUACUGUAAUUCCAAUAGACAAGGGACACAAAAAUAGCCAUUUUUAUUCAUGGUGUUUCACUUUGCCCUAACCCCAGUAAAUGUGGAGGGCUGACUGUAUAAGGCCAAUUAUGUGGCCAAUGUUUCCACAUAAAUCUUGAUUUUAAGCUUUAGAACUUGCCUAUUGAAAUAAUAAGAAAUAUGGUAUAAUCAUUUCACAAUCUUUCAAUAAAUCUGAGAUGCGUUUAUGGGAGGGAGAAAGAAGAAAGCAAGUAGGAUAAUGCAAGUAUUUCUUUUUUUCCAGAGUGGCUUAUCAUGUUUUUCAUUAGUUUUUUCUCCCUUCCUGUCAGAUGCACAAGAAAACUUCCCAACACUGUGGGGAGUGAGUGUCUCUCUUUAUUCAUCAGUGGAGUUGAAAGGAUUAAGAUUUAUACAAUGCAUCCUCAAACCUCAGUGGCUAUGGUCUCUGGUGCUUGGCAGACAAACUACCGACAGCAUAGCAUUUGAACUCUUUUGCCCACACACAAAUCCAGGGCUGGCUGAAGAGCCACCACAGAAUUCUGAUAACCAACCAAUUGCUUUAGACUGGGUCAGGGAUGUGCUACCAGGGAGAUGAGAAACUGACCUCCUAAAUCCUGUGUGCCCAGCAUUCAGAUGGAGAUUGUACAAAUGUUCAGAAUUAUUUUUAUAUUUCCUGAUUAGUUUGCAGGCUGUUGACUAGCAGUGAUAUCUUUGAUAACUCCACUGUUGAAUUAAAGCAGUUUGAUACAACUUUAAUUGGUAAUGCUAUGGCAUCACCGGAGUUGCAGUUCUGUGAGAACUUAACCUUCUCUGCCAAAGAGUCCUGGUGCUUCCUCAAACUACAAAUCCCACGAUUCCAUAGCACUGAGUCAUUGCAAAGUAGUGUUAAUUCGAAACAUCAGAUGACUGCUGAGAUUCAUUCCAAAAUCAAAUAAAUCCUAGUCCUUUAGCUCAGUUGUUCUCAAACUUUGGGAAUUGAGGAUUUUACACUUCAGCUGCUAGAGACCAGUUUGGGGAACUGAAAUAAAAAAAACCUGGAGGACCAAAGUUUGAGAGUCACUGUUUUAGAUCAAAGUUCAGCUGUAAAGGCACUUUGACCUUGGAAAGCCUCAAGUUUGAUUUCCAGGUUUCACUGUUUCAUAACAAGGUUGGGAUCAGUUCCUUGAAAUCAAGAAGCAAAUGAGAAAUUAUUUCUACAUAGAAUUAAAAGGAGCAGUCAACACUGUAGCAACUGUUCUAAUAGCUUCCUGCAGAGGUGUUAUCUUUCCCAGCAGCUUUCCCUGACUGAUGUUCAAAUUACCUGUCACUUCCCAGUCAUGCAUGAAAUAUCGCACUGUUCAUUAAAUCCCUGGAGCUUCCACUCUCCCACCACUGCUUUUGUAUUAAUGCCAAAAAUCUUGCAAAACUUGUAACUCCCUUUGUGGAAAGCUAAUGACACAUCCUGGUAACAUCUGUAAUUUGACUUAAAAGAGAAAAAAAGAGAGAGAGAGAUGUUACUUUUCAAAAUGAAACAAUUGUUUCCUUAUAAUCACAGCCUCCCUUCCACCCCCUGGUCUGUUUAUAAUGAUGUAAUAGAAGGAGAUCAAGGACCAAUAAAUGUGUACAGAAUUUAAUCCAAAUGUUACUGACUAGUUUUGUCAACACCUAUUGAGAGCAUCUGUUCUUGUUUCCACUCACUGUCAGAAGAGGAUGGAGUUAUCUAAUGAGAGGGUUCUCUGAUGUUUUGGUUAGUGAUAUCUGUUGCUUUAAGAGAUUUUUUUUGUUGCAAUGACCAUGAUUCCAUUUCUCAAGGGACAAGCAGCUUUGUUAAAAGAACCACUAUGUCCGCUGAUAUUUCUUUGCAUGCAGAUAAGGGCAUAUUGAUUAAUAUGAAUCAGAAAUGACAGAACUUUCAACAUUCUAUGUGUUUAUUAUCACCAUAUGAUAUCUAUGUAUUGCCUUUCUGUAAAUACACAGAAAUUAUUAGACAAUUUUAAAUAAUAAAGAAUUGUCUGAGAAGGGGCUCUAAAGUAGCUCACAUGAUACUUCCCUUUUGGGGGGGGGGGGCAGCUUAUUUCUCUGCCUUCCCUAAGUAAAAUGUAGUAUCAUAGAUGUAUAUAAACUAAUAUAGCUGCUGCUAUUGCUAAGGGCAAGCAGAUAAGCUCCUGUUUCACAUCUGUUUCAGCCAGCAAUUUAGCAGGAGAUCUUAGAUUCCUUCAGCAAGUAUAUGAAACAUGUCAUAAGCGCAGUUGCAUCCUAGGAUAUUUUCUGUGUAAAGUGUUAAGGGAGCCCCAACAGCUCUCACUAUGUAUUGCUAUGCACACCGAGGUUGGGAUUUCACUGCCUUCUUCCAUUCAUGGCUCUUGGCUGAGGCCUUUGAUUUUUUUUAAAGAAAAAACAAACUGGAUGAUCAUAUGUUAAAACAAAAUAUGCAGUGAACUCCCUCUUCCCAUGUUCAGUAGAUUAGUAAACAAUCUGACUAAAAUUCAUAAAUGAGGGUGGGAUAUCACAGUUCUGUCCUCCAAACCAUGGAACACUAAUAGGAUUACUUCAUAUACCAGUAAUGGAUCACUGGGAGAGUUCAGAUGCCUGCUUGGUCAUGGAAAUCCGCUGGGUGACCUUGGACAAGUCAUACUCUCUUAGUCUCAAAGGCAAGCAAGAAUAAACUUGUUCUGAACAAAUUCUGCCAAGGAAGGUUCACCAUAAGUCAGAAAUGAUUUCAAGGAAGACAAAAAUAGUCCUGAUGGAUGUCAUAUGAGGAAGAUGUGAAAUAUGAAUAGAAAACAGAGACCCUCAACAAAACACUGCUAUGUAGUAUGCUUCUGUUCAGUGUUGCUUAACACAAUUAUAUACUUGUUGUGUAAAGAAACACUUGGAGAAAACUACUAUAUAAAUCCCAAAUGGUUCAAUAAAAAGUUUUAAGUUAAAAAUUUCUCCCAUAGUUUGUUAGAGUGGAGGUAUUGUAUCAAAAUAAGAUUGCCUUUAAGCAAGAUUCAGCAAUUGGGUUUUAUUAAAACAAUACAGGACUGAAUUGCUUCAUGGCUAAUAAAUUGACCACAACCACCUAUUGCUAGUUAUUUUGGGGAAAAAACCAGAUGAGCUGCUUUGGCAAUCAUGCGAGUUAACUCCCUUAGGGAACAAAGAGAAACUAAAUCUUUCAGAGGACUUCAGCUGGCCUUCACACACAAAAAUGGAUGAAGUGACUCAGCACAGGACAAUUUGGAUGCUCCAACCUGUUGUUUAUUAUGUCUAGACUAAAAAACUUUCCAAACUUCAAAGCUGUCUAUUAUGUUUUUGCAGAGAACUGAGUAAAGCAGCAGUGUUUAAGACACAAUGAUGCUCUCACUUUCAAUAUAGUAUCUCAGUAUUCUAACUAGUUGUUUGUUACUUAUAAGUUGCUGCCACAAAGGACUCAGGCCGGACAAAGCCUUCUGUCCAGUCCCCACACUUUGUCUGUUUAGUUCCAACUCCAGCAUCUACAUUCUGUUAAAUCCUUUUCUUGUACUUCAGAAAGGCCUUGACUUUCAGUGUUGAUUGCAUCACCUAAAGUACAGAAACCUCCUUGUGUGUUUCCCUGAAAAUCUCCCAGGGUUUGUCUGGCAUGUUGCUUGUGCCUUGUAAUCUUAUCUGACAUCAACUUACUAUGUUUAUGCUCCCCCAUUCACCCCAUAUUGCAUUUAGAAAUAUUUAAGAGAGUGAUUCUCAACCUGUGUUUUGGUCUACAACUCCCAGAAAUCCCAACCAGUUUAGCAGUUGUUAGGAUUUCUGGUACUAAAAGGUCAAAACAUCUAGGGUCCCACAGGUUGAGAACCACUGUUCUAAGGUAUGUUGUCCAACUGUGCUGCCUAAGUGGUCACUAUCUUCACAUAUUCAAAGAAUUUUUGCUUUAUAUGCAAAGUGCACAACCCCAAUAUUUUGGUUGUUUGGGAAUCCAGAAGGCUUUUGCCUUAUAAUACUAGCAUGUCUGGUAAGCAAUGGUGACUUUAAUGAUUUAUGUUUCCACUAGACAGACUUAAGAGUGAUGAUCUUGUAAACCAUCUUGGGACUAAAACAAGGGAUCCAAUGCUAAUAAGAAAGGGCAUGAUUAAUCCCCAUCUCAACCAUGCUCCAAAAUGUGGUUUUCUAAGGAGAGUAAAUACUGAUGGUGAACGACUGACUUAUCCAAAGUGCACACUGUAGCAGGAAUUGUUAGCAUUACAAAAACAAGCAAACAAACAAACCCAACUACACCCACUCCUAUUUAAAUGGAUAAAAUAGGUGUAAUCUGAAUGGACAUGGAAUAGCCUAUAAAUGGGCCAAUGGGGUAAGGGACUGAAAGAGAAAUCUGGAUACUUACCACAUCCAGUUAUCUUUAUGAUAAUUUACCACAAAGCUUAGUGUCAUGUGACAAGCAAAUUGUGUGGCACAUAGACCAAUAUUGGCAACCAACAAAGGUGAGUUCAUAUAAGAAUGUUAAUUACUUAAUUGUGCAGCAGCAGCAACUAGAGGCCUCAUCAUAAAGACAUCUAGGAGAAAAGAUAGGGGCAGUUGGGCGAAUCUAUCACUUUGUGUGCAGCCCUCUCUCGGAAAUGCUUUCCCCAUCACAUGGGGAAAGCGUCACCCUCCUGGCAAGGCCCUGUACUGGCUCCACGUUGGGCGGAGAGGGGGGGGGGAGUGUCCAGAAAUACUUUCCUCCGGUUGGGGAUGGAGCCUCUGCUGGAAGUCACAUGACAUUGAGUGAAGUCCAGCAUGGGGCUCCGUCCAUUAGAUGGGGUGAAAGUGACCUAAAAUGCUAAAUUCACCCCAUCUGGUGAGGUCGUAGGACCUUUUUCUUUCUUGCCUAUACAAUGCUAUUUCCACACAGAGGCAUCCUUCCAACAUUCCAUCUUAUUUACUAACUUUAUUUUCUUCUUUCUCCAGGAACUAGCCUUAAAUGAGUCAGAUACAAUCUCAUUAGCCAUGGUACCGGCUUCCAUACUAAUUCAUUUGUUUUUGUUUUUGUUUUUAAAAAAAUGAAUUCUACUGUUUCCCUGUAAAAUCCAGAAUGUAACCUAGAAUCAUAUUUUGUCAUAUUUUUAUAUUAUUUAUAAAACACACAAGAACUAGCAAAGAACAUUUCCAGUGAAUCAUGCUAGGCCCAUCAUCACCUAAUGAUCCAACUGUGUCUCCUCCAACAGCUCAUUUGGCUUCUCUGCCUGUCAGUGAGCUCACUUUAGUUUUGGACUGGCAGAAGAAAGAGCUUUUCCUGAGUUGGAACUGGUAGUUCCUUAGUCUUGUGAUGACCAUAGGAAUUAUGAGGCUGUUCCAAGAGUAGCAACAUCCUUUAUCUUUUCUCCUCUAGCAAUGCCUAAUAGUACAAAGCAUGUGAUGGGACAUUGUGGUGAGUUUUUCAGGCUCUUGAAACUCAUCAAACAUGGACUGACUGAGACACUCUCAUCAUAGUAAAUUAAGAUGUACAUUUUGUGCCCAAAAUUGGGGUUGGGGAUUAGGAGGCAGAGAGGAAAGGAAGUACACAAGUUCAUGGCAUCUACACAAUUUUCAUAAUGCCAGCAGAGAGUAUGAAAAAGUAAUCAUUGGCUGGGCAAUCCUGAGAGUUAUACUCCAAAGAAGCAAAAGUCCCAAUCUCUCACCAACCUUUUCCAGGAUUGAGGCCCAGCCCUGGGUUGAGGAAUCACUAGCAAAGUGGCUUCUUUGCUAAUAGUGAGCCACUUCCUAUAUUGCUGAAUCCAACAUGUUGCCUCCUAUAUGAGUGAAUCUCAUUGAUCUUACCUGGCGACUGAGGAUGUGGCAGCAUCACUUUGUUUGGCACAGGGUGGCCUAGAGCCACCAUUGUCAUGCUUCACAAUAGCCCUACUGCAACAUCACUCUGUGAGGAAAUUAUGCUGAUUGAAGUGCUGCUUUGAUGCUAUUUUUCAGAAGGAACCAAAGUCAGGUGCCAUGACUAUGUGAAGUGUUAGAUGUCACUGAGUUAAUUUUUUUUGCUAAUUGUAUUUCAUCCUGCUGGAUUCAAUGAUAGCAUUUAAAUGUGAAAAGACUGAAAAUAUGCAUUCUAGUCCAAUAAAUAAAGCUGAUGUCUAUGCCUAAUUUAAUUAAAUAAAUCUUCUACCUCAUUUCUUAAUCAACAAAAUAACCCUUACAUUACUAGAAACUUUCAUCUCUCUCUCACACACAUUGAACAAAAUAAGCAUAUUGACAUUCCUUAGGUAUUUUACAUCAGGCAGUUAGGUGUCAUGCUAAUCUAGUAUUAGUGCAGUCUCCACAAUUAACUUCUCUUGCACAACAAAAAAAUUAAUACAGGCAGUGAUCCAUUUUUCAACCAUUGUUUGUUUUAAGUAGCUAUAUGCAUAACAGCUGAACUGAUUUGAUUACCAGGUUAUUACAUUUACUUUUUCUAAACACAACUCUGUCUUACCAAAUAUGGCUAUUAUGUAGGCUUGAGCGAUCCAUGAAAAAAUUGAUUCUAAACUCGUUUCAAAAGUAGGGGGCGCCAGCGUUUCGUUUCUGAUGUCAUUUCCAAAUUUUGCCCCCCCAAAAAUUCGAAAUUAACAAAAAUUCGUUAUUUUCUAAAUUAAUUCGUUAAUGGCGGACGCGCAUGCGCAGUGGCCAAAAAAAAAAACAGCACGAGGGGAGAUUUUACAGGACUCUCCCGCCCUCAUUUUUUGAGUGAUCUUCUUCAAACUUGGUACAGUGGUAGAACACAUUUAACACUGAUAGCUCACCAAAAUUUGGAACGUUUCCCUUAUCCUCUGAUUUUUGGCGAAUUUUCAUAGCUUUUAUAAUAAACAAUUUUUUAAUAAUUGCAGAAAUCUGUUCCUGGUUUGAAAGUCUUAUUUCCUGUUUCAUUGGGUUGUCUUUACUGUGAAAGUCAUUGUUCUACUUCAGAAACUUUGUUUUUGUGGCUGAAACUUUGUUAAAUUGGUGGACCAAACCAUAAUAUGUUCCAUCCAUGUCGCUUGCACAAAGUUCAGGCAGUGUCAUAGAUUUUGCCAUGUUUCUAUGACAGAACCAAUUAGGAAAUGACAUUUAUCACCCAGGAACAGAAAUCAUAGUACACCAUCAAAUCCUUCCUGACAGAUGGCCAUCAGCCUCUGAAUAAGGAAAUUAGUUCCUGGUUUGAAAGUGCUAUUUCCUGUUCCAUUGGCUUUUCUGGGCUGAGAGUGUGUGACUUGCCCAAGUGGGUGGCAGAGUGGGGAAUCAUGCCACAAUUGGAGUCCAAAAUUCAAACCUCUUCCUCCCUCCUUCUCUCUAAACUUCUCAUACCUUCCAAGAAUUCACAUACUGUAUGAAAGUUUGGUCAAGAUGGUCAGAGGAGGGCAACUAAAAUGAUCUAGGGUCUGGAGAACAAGCCCUAUAAGGAGUGGCUUGAAGAACUGGGCAUGUUUAGCCUGCAGAAAAGAAGGCUGAGAGGAGACAUGAUGUAUAAUAUGUGAGGGGAAGUCAUAGAGAGGAGGGAGCAAGCUUGUUUUCUGCUGCCCUGCAGACUAGGACACUGAACAAUGGCUUUAAACUACAGGAAAGGAGAUUUCACCUGAACAUUAGGAAGAACUUCCUCACUGUGAGCUGUUCAGCUGUGGAACUCUCUCCCCGGGCUGUGGUGGAGGUUUCUUCUUUGGAGGCUUUUAAGCAGAGGCUGGAUGGCCAUCUGUUGGGAGGGAUUGGAUGGUGUCUUCCUGCCUGGCAGAAGGGGUUGGGCUGGAUGGCCCACGAGGUCUCUUCCAACUCUACUGUUCAAUGACGCUAUGAUUCUAAGUGAGGACAAAAGGGGGUGGGGAAUGUUAAGAGGAGAGAGGGCCUGGAACACCUGGGAAUUGUAGUUUGCAAGUGGGCAUUGUACUAUUGGAGAAACGUUUGCUUCAGCCCAAUGCUUUUAUAAAUGGUCAAUAUUCAGAGGCUUCCUUCUCCUGCCUUUUGAAAGCUAUUAUGAUGAAAUUUGCCAGAAUGGAAGCAAAAAUUAAGUACUCUUAGCCUAUCUAGUUUCAUAAUGUUUGACCCAUCCACUGAUUUUUGGGGAUUUCUGAAGCAACAUUUUUUUAAAAUGUUAGCAGAUCGAUAGCCACGCCUCCCUGUCCUUCUUCCUUCCACUUUGAUUGGCUUGCUAAGGCUUCUGGGAAAUGGAGUUUUUUCUCUCGUUAUGGCGAAUUGCUUCAUUAAUGGUCAAUAUUCAGAGGCUUCGUUCUCCUGCAUUAUGAAAGCUAUUAUGAUGAAAUUUGCCAGAAUGGAAGCAAAAAUUAAGUACUCUUUGCCUAUCAAGUUUCAUAAUGUUUGACCCAUCCACUGAUUUUUGGGGAUUUCUGAAGCAACAUUUUUUUAAAAUGUUAGCAGAUCGAUAGCCACGCCUCCUUGUCCUUCUUCCUUCCACUUUGAUUGGCUUGCUAAGGCUUCUGGGAAAUGGAGUUUUUUCUCUCGUUAUGGCGAAUUGCUUCAUUAAUGGUCAAUAUUCAGAGGCUUCGUUCUCCUGCAUUAUGAAAGCUAUUAUGAUGAAAUUUGCCAGAAUGGAAGCAAAAAUUAAGUACUCUUUGCCUAUCAAGUUUCAUAAUGUUUGACCCAUCCACUGAUUUUUUGGGAUUUUUAAAGCAACAUUUUUUUUAAAAUGCUAGCAGAUCGAUGUCCAUGCCUCUCCCUCCCUCCCUCUUCCACUCUGAUUGACUGAGAGGCAUGCCAACAUGGCUUCUCCUCUCAGAGGGGCUACAGCUUCAUCCGAAGACAUCAGAAACAAACGAAAAAAGGUACUUUUAUUAUUCAAAUUCGUAAUAUUUGUAAGGGCAGUGAGCAGAUGGUUCAAUAUUAAUUUAAAAUUGCUUACGAAACGAAUUUUUAACGAAUUUAACGAAAUAACGAAAAAUUUGCUCUAGCCUACUAUUAUGAACUGACAACCUGAUUCUGUUGCCAUUUCAUUUAUUCCAGAGAAAUUAUAUUAGCCUCAUCAGGCUUUCUAUUCUAAAAUGUUUUCAUUUAUUCUGUAAAGUGACAGUCUGCUUUUUAAUAGGAGACUGGUUCAGAGUAUGCACCUUGCUGUUUACAUGUAUUUCCACAGUAACUAUGAGCACCUGUGUCAGGAGAACAAUAGCUCCAACAUUGUUUCAAGAACACUGAUGUCAUUACAUCAACAUUGUGAAAGUGCUGUAAAUCCCCUCCAUUAGGAUGGAUUUUGUGUUUGUUUAUCUACCCUAAGAAAGACUGAAAAUGUUUAGGGUGUGAGAGUUUACUUUGUCAAGUAUCAAGGUCAGAUCUUGAAUGGAGGGGGCACCACAAAUAAUUUCUUCUACCUGAUUUCCUGCCCUGGAUGGUCAGGGCAUCCAAUUCAUUGAAGUCAUUUCUUUUCACACAUAAGAGGUAUUUCACCAAAAAGCAGGAGCCAAUGAUUGCUAGGCAGAGAAAACAACAACCUCCAAUACACAUUCUUUGGUUAGAAACCCCAUUCAUGCUGCAUCACAUAAUUAAACAUGAGUGAGCUAGCACUAGUAAAAAAAAAACCUUAGAUUUAUGCAAAGCCUAUCCCUUUCCCUUCUCCUCUGUGUCUCCAGAAAGAGGAGACUGGAAGCAUUGGCUUCUGUUUUCAACAAUAAAUGGUAUGCCAUUAUGUUUGAAUUAUGUUACUCUGUGUUUAGUGCUAACAACAGUUUGAUUGAUAAGAGCCAAAUUCCAACAACACUAACUACAAUUCAGGAUUCUGACAUAAUCAACUGUGGUUAGUUAAAAACAGACAUUGAUACUUUUGACCUCAUCCUUGUGACCAUCCUGGGGAGACAAGAAGGGAGAAACACACAAAUUAAAGGGCCACACACACACAGUCGUUGGUAAUCAUGGUUUAGUGUCAUGUGUGAACUAGAAUAUACAGUGGUCUUGCUGUGUCUUUCAAAUAUGACAAAGCAAGGAUGGACAUGCCCCACAUUAUUAAAUGGUGGUGCCUUCAGUAUAUCUGCAUUCAUGUCACUGCCAUGUGAUGAUAUAGAACCUAACCAUCCACAGCCAAUCAAAAUAGCAGAUUCAAUUGCUCUUUCAAUCAAUGGAUCUGGAUGGCUAUUGUACACUAUUAUUUUUUUCUUAAUGUUUAAUUUAUAAUACUUUCUGGUUGGAAUAUGAUAGUUUUAUUUCUAAAUAAAAAGCAUUUUGCUUCCACAGACACUGUAAGGCACAAUGGCACACAUUUAAGGCUAACACGUUUAAAAUGAAUUUAAAUAGACAAUGCCCAAUAUGUGAAAAUAAAUGGUUUCUACCAUGAUUAAAAUACAUGACCAUAAAUGAAUACCCCUAAAUAACACAUACAGAAUAUCUUUCAGCUGUGUUAUUCUUGUAAUGCAGAUUGUAGCAAUGAAUUGGUUAAUGCAUCUGUAUAAUACUGAUAUUUGAAAUUUUUCAUGCUGUGUCAACCUUCAAAGCAUAUUGUUUUCCACAGGUUCAUAUUUUUGACCAUCUCCUUCUCUGGUUUUAAUUUACACUCACAAACUAGAUUGAUAUGGGAAUAUAUGACUGUAACAUCGUAUGAUACUAAAAGCUUUUGGCACAUGUUCCCAUAUUUUUUAAGUGCUACAUAUGUGAUAGAGUUAUUGUUCAGUUAUAGUUUCUAUAGUUACAGGCAUGUGUGUCUGUGUCUGUGUCUUUCUUUCUUUCUUUCUUUCUUUCUUUCUUUCUUUCUGUGUUAGGUUGAUUUGUGUGUAAAUUAUUUAUAAUCACAUUGCUUUACAAAUUUGAUUAUUUUCAAGCUGUAAAACCUAUAGGUGGACAGGUGACUUGAUAGCAUACACAGCUUUACACCUCUAACACUGUAAACAUAAUUUGUUGAUGGAAGGAAGUAUAACUUUUCAAGUCUAUAUAAACUGAAACCUAAGUCUGAAUUAUAAUAAAACAUUUCAUCUCUUUACUUUUACAUUUCAUUAAUCAGAAUAUUACACAGACAGCUAUAAUUCUGUGAAAAGGCAAAAUGAAUGCUGAAGACUCAUAAUCUCCACCAACAUGACACAAACUUGGGAGGUCUCCUUAUGAAGGUCUACCUGAAAACAAGGAUCACUGUACAUUGCAAGAUUAAGUUCUUCGCAGGACUGAACUGAAAGAUGCUAGAGAACUGAUUUAAGAGCCUAUCUGAUAUUUCUCUGGAGCAAAGGAAUUCCCCCAAGAUCAAAAGGUGGCAAGGGGAGUAAGGGAUCUAAAAUAAACAGAAUGCAUUGAUGUCAAACACCAGUUGCUUUCCACUGGGUCAUCUAUUAUAUGCUUACUUAACAAUGUCUUUAUUAUUUUACUCACUCCUCAUCAGUCUGUGUGUAUAUGUGUGUGUACUGACUUAUGGAAACCCUAUGAAUUUAAUAGGGUUUUCUAAGGUAAGGAAUAUUCAGAGGUAGUUUUUGUCAGUUCCUUCCUUUGAAAUUCAGCCGAAAGCACCUGGCAUUUGUUGAUGGUCUCCAGUCCAAGUACUAGCCAGGGCUGACCUUGCUUAGCUUCCAAGAUCAGAUGGGAUCUGGUGCCUUUAAUAUAUUUAGGUGCAUUGCCACAUACAGUAGAGUCUCACUUAUCCAACAUAAACGGGCCGGCAGAAUGUUGGAUAAGCGAAUAGGUUGGAUAAUAAGGAGGCAUUAAGGAAAAGCCUAUUAAACAUCAAAUUAGGUUAUGAUGUUACAAAUUAAGCACCAAAACAUCAUGUUAGACAACAAAUUUGGCAGAAAAAGUAGUUCUAUACGCAGUAAUGCUAUGUAGUAAUUACUGUAUUUAUGAAUUUAGCACCAAAAUAUCACGAUAUAUUGAAAACAUUGACUCCAAAAAUGCGUUGGAUAAUCCAGAAUGUUGGAUAAGCGAAUGUUGGAUAAGUGAGACUCUACUGUAUUUGUUACAUGCUACCAUAGUAUCUGAAUUAUUCACCACCUCAUAAAACAAUAAGACUUUAAAAAACCUCUACAUUAAAUAGCUUUAUAGCUAAAUAUAUUCACACUAAAUGUUAAUACCACAAAGAAAUUGCAAGUUUGCCUGUUUUUAUCAUUUUCUUUUAUGAUUUCAGCUGUAGUUCCCAUUUACUACAGUGGAUUGUUCUGCACACUUACAGAGUAAGGCUGCAUAUGAGAAAACACCUUUUAACAGCUGUUUCUCCUUGCAAACCCUGUGACAGCUUUAUGAACCAUUAACAUAUCUAUCUCAAGCACAAAUGGCUAUGAAAGUAAUAUAAACAAAGCAUGUUGUCCAUUUAACUUCAAAGGGGAAGAAAAAGGGGCUCAGGUCUUUAAGAUAUUGAACUACCCAAAGUUCACAAACUUUUCUUAUCAAAAAGACAAAGCAGAUCAGUUCUCUUACACAUCAAAUAAUAAAAUGAAUUCAUAAUACAAAACAAAAUGGAACUAUUUAAGUAUAACAGGAUCAUUAUUAACAGCUCCUUAAGUGUACAAAGUUUGGUAUUUUUAUGCCAAAAUAAACAACAUUUUGUUUUUAAACGCCCUUUCUAAAUUAUUACUUUAAUACUGAAAGAAAAAUCAUAGAAUCAUAGAAUUGGAAGAGACCUCACGGGCCAUCCAGUCCAACCUCCUGCCAAGAAGCAGGAAAAUCACAUUCAAAGCACCCCCAACAGAUAGCCAUCCAGCCUCUGCUUAAAAGCCUCCAGGGAAGGAGCCUCCACCACACUCUCAGGCAGAGAGUUCCACUGCUGAACAGCUCUCACAAUGAGGAAGUUCUUCCUCAUGUUCAGGUGGAAUCUCCUUUCCUGUACCUUGAAGCCAUUGUUCCAUGUCCUAGUCUCCAGGGCAGCAGAAAACAAGCUUGCUCCCUGCUCCUAUGACUUCCACUCAUUUAUUUAUCCAUGGCUAUCAUGUCUCCUCUCAGCCUUCUCUUCUGCAGGCUAAAGAUGCCCAGCUCUUUAAGCCGCUGCUCUUAGGGCUUGUUCUCUAGACAGUUGUUCAUUUUAGUUGCCCUCCUCUGGACACAUUCCAGUCUCUCAACAUCUCCCUUCAAUUGUGGUGCCCAGAAUUGGACACAGUAUUCCAGGUGUGGUUUGAUCAAGGCAAAAUAGAGGGGUAGCAUGACUUCCCUGGAUCUAAAUACUAUACUCCAAUUUAUGCAGGCCAAAAUCCCAUUGGCUUUUUUUGCCACUGCAUCACAUUGUUGGCUCAUGUUUAACUUGUCCAUGAGGACUCCAAGAUCUUUUUCACACAUACUGCUGUUGAGCCAGGCAUCCCCCAUUCUGGAGUAGCUUUCAUUUGUCCCUGUUGAACAUCAUUAUUCAUGAACUUCAAAUCAAACAGGGCAACUCUCGUAAUACCUCCUAGAAGAAAAAUAAUAACUUUAGGCAUGUACUGUCCUCAUACAUAUAUGUCUACUCAGACAUAAACCUCUUGGGCUUUAAUGAUACUGCUUCCAUGAAAGUGUGCCCAUAUCUACAGCCACAGGGUAGUUUCGUGGUGGAGUUAAAUUACUACACCAUGAUACAAGUAUUGUAUUAAGAAGUGUGUAAGCACACAGUGUGCUCAGAUCUGUUCUCGUUCCUAUCGCUAAAACUUCAGUUACAGACAAAACAAAAAAGGAUUUCAAAAGUAUUGCUACAGGCAGAAUCUAGUCUCACACUGAAAUGUUGUCAUCCAGGUUAUCACAUGUCACUUUCUUUGUGUUUCCAGAAUAAUAAAAUGGUAACACCCUUUUCUGUUAUGUUAGAAAUCUUGACUUAUUUUCUUUCUCAUCUUUCAUCUUUAAAACAUACUUUUUUGCACUCUGAAACAUUAUUUGCUAAUAAAGUUUACUUUGAAUCGUGCAAAUUGAAACCAAUAAAAAUAACAAAAUUAGUUUUGAGGGUGCAAUGGAUAAAACUAGACUAUUAAGUGUUAACAGCAGAUGUCAAGGUCUGUCCAUAUUGCCCAUACACUAUAAGCGGAGGACGGGGGGCUUAUUUAGCUGCUCAGUAAUGCAGGGCUGCAACCUUCCUAAACUCCCAAAGGAGUAUUUCCUCCACGCUAGAAGAUAUUUAGGAUGGAAGAUUUGAGAUUAACAGGCCUGCCAGGUCUUGAUGAUCAGCUGAUUAAUAGAGCAGGUCACCCAUUUUUAAACUACGGUGACCUGGAAUGUAACUCGUCUUCUGAUCUUUGUACUUCUUUGUUCCAAAUGUACUGGCAUCAGCUUUUGCUGUUUUUUUAGUGUGUCACUGACUUUCUUCUAGCACUGUGGACCCCCCCCCCCCCCCCGCCUCACCAUCUAGAAACUUGGUGAUAAAGGUGGCUAAUGGGAUUUAUUUCAUACUUUCAGGAGUUGGCUUGUACUUUAUGCUUUUAAUUGAACAGGCUCCUGCAUAAAUUUCUUCCUAGCACUGUAAAUCCAGAAAAAUGGUGUGCUGUGCUCUUUUCUUCCUUCAUUUCAGCACUGGUCUUGCUUCUCUCAAGCAGGCAUGUUUAGGAAUAUACACAUGGUUGUUGUGAUACAUGAAACUAUGCUUGGUGGUCACUGUGCUCCUGCAAUAUCCCAGCUCAAGAUAUAAACAGCUACCAAAGACUGUGACAGCUUAAUGGAAAGCUUAACUGAAAUUCUAUGUUCAUAGGCUGGAGCUCAGGCCAACCAAUAGGGGACAGUUAUUGUCUUUACAUCAGCUAUUGAAUUUCAAGUGGUGUCUGGUUGGUCUUUGUUGGAAACAGAAUAGUGAACUCAUGCUUUGAUCUGGCAACACAAAUGGUGUUGCUGUUAUUUAUAUAACACUUUUAUGAGAUUUGCAGUCAGAUGUUUCUGGUGGUUAUAGCUGCAGCUUUUGUCCCUUUUCCCAUGAAAAAUUAUUUCCCAUCAAAAUCUGUAAGUUCUGCUUCAACUGGCUGCCCCUUUCAUGCAGGCAGAGCCAAGGAUGCCAUCCAAAACCGGCUUCUACAGAGAGCCAGGAAAAGAAGGGGGGAAUAAUAUUAAGCAGCAUUGCUGCAAAAUAAAAUGGACUUUUGCUAAUCUUAUCCAUCGUUUUCUUUCCAUGCAAAAUACAGACCUGACAUGGUAUUUGUUUCCUGCUUUAUAGUUCAAAGGGUGAUGCAGGUUGAGAAGCACAGUCAAGGAAGCCAGGGCUCUGGUUCUGCAAGAGCUGAGCAGGGCGUUUGGUGACGGGGGACUUGGAGGUCUCAUACUGAUAAGGUUCCUGGAGAUGAAAUGAGACAUGCAUAAGGAAACAGAUGUUCAGCUGGGGCAAGCCACUUUGGAAGCCAGCGUGUAGCUGUGUUAAUUUAUAUUAAUGGAAAACAUGAUCCGGGAAUUACGUAGAAUGACAGGAAUGUUCCAACUGGAAAAUGGAGACAAUGUAAAGACAUCAACACCCCAUGUUACGCAUACACAAUAGAAAAGAAUAAUCCGGCUGCUUCGUAAAAGGGUGUAAGGUAACUAUGAAUUCUACUUUUUAGAAGACAACCUUCUAUGUGAAGGGCUUUCUAAGAAUCCUAUUUGAAGGAUUUCUCUCUUAAUAAGAAACUGUAAGAAAAAAGAUAGGAGGAGAUCUGUCUGGUGAACAACAUGGACAGGGAAAAGAUGAGAGUAUGGAUUUUGAAACGGGAGCACCAAAGCAGAUAAUGAACACUUCGUUGGGGAUGGACUUUCCCCUCUGGUCUGCAGGAUGCCAUUAUGACCAUCCGUUUCAAGUGGAACAACUGGCAUUUGAUAUCAAAGACUUUCAACUGAAUAGAGGCAGAUGGACCUCAAAAACUGUGAAAUUACCUUCUCCAUUUCGGCCCAUUUCGGCACAUGUUGCACUUUGCCUGGGUUCUAUGAAUUAGUCUCCAGUGUUAAUAUUGAAUGUUUUAUGUUGAUUUUAACGAUUGUUUUUACUGUAAUUGAUGUUUUUAUUGGAUAACUGUUUUAUUGCUGUGUUUUGAUAUUUGAUUGUUUUAUCGGGCAAGGCCCCAUGUAAGCCGCCCCGAGUCCCUUCGGGGAGAUGGGGCGGGGUAUAAAAAUAAAGUUAUUAUUAUUAUUACUAUUACUAUUAUUAUUAUUAUUAUUAUUAUUAUUAUUAUUAUUAGCUCAUUCACAGUCUCAUUCACAGUUAAUACCUUGACUGAGGAAGUACCGGUAUUUGGGUUAUAAUGAUGAUAAUAAUAAAACUUUAUUUAUAUACUGCCCUAUCUCCCCAAGAGGACUCAGGGUAGUUUCCAACAUAAGGAAAAACAUUCAAUUGCCAAAAAGGAAAACCAUGCAACAGAAUUAAACAUCAUAAAACAAAAAACAUACAAUCCUACUAAAACAACCACAGAAAUCUAUUUUCAUGUACUGCAUCAGAUGAGUCUUUACUAUUCUGGUGAGAAGUAUUGUAGUUCUACGGAAAUAUUAGUACAGUAUUUUUCUUUCUCAGUGUACUGUACUUCUAUUUAUAAAAAUUAGAAUAUUCCUGUUUUAUGCAAAUAUACCCCACACCUCUGUUUGGUGAGGGAUGAAAGACUGAGACCAAUUUUAAUUACCUCAUGUUUUUUAAAUUAAAUGUAUUUUAUUUACAAGUGAAUCCCAUAUGUUAUGCUGCUUUUCAUAGGGUAGCAGCAAAGUGACUUAACAAUAAAAGCAUUAAGACCAUAAAAUAUAACAAGACCAAAGCAUGAGCUAAAAUAAGAAUGGAAGAUAAAAGGGACAAUAGAGCCAGCAAAUAAAAAAGAAGACACAAAUAAAUGGAAUAGAUAGGCCAGAUUAUCAUAAAAGGUUUCUCGAAGCAUGCAAAGACAUGAAGAUAACAUGUCCUCACAAGCUAAUGGAUAAGAGAAUCCAAUGUAGAUGAAAGUUUGAUUGAUUAUUUCAAGCUGGGAGCUAGUAAGGAUGACUAUUAGAAAUGUUUUCCCUUUCUCUGAAGAAAUGUGUUUACAAACUGGGAAUGCUUCUUGAUUUAUCUUAAUUAUUAAAAGUGUGGUUUAUUUCUGCAGCACAGAAUGCAUUUGUACAGUUUAGGUUGAUGAACCAGCUGUGAGACCCUAGUAUCGAGACAGAGAUAGACUGCCCUGAAUGCAACAUGCUAUAGUAACCUUGAUGUUAGGCUGCUAUAGCCUUGAAGAUAUUUUCAAAACAGAUCUGCAUAUGGUGACUAGAUUGCUAAUUGGGAUUAAGCAUUAUCUUCCUAAUUGCCCAGAGGUGUACUGGUUGCACUAACUGCCAGUAGUCAAACUGUUGUUUUUGAUUUUUAAAACCAUUUACAACUUAGGAACAUUGAUGUGUAAUGACCCCACACACCAUGGUUUAAAGCAGAAAGAACAUUUUUAGAAAGGAGUGAUCAGACUGAUAGUUAUAUUUACAUAUUAAAUUGCACUCUCAGAAAUGAAUGAGGUGAAUAAUUUUAGGGUAUUGGAGAGAAUUAGAGAAGGCAAACUGCAAGGGAGUUUUGUGUACCUCCUCCCAGAAUCACACUUUGGCCACUUGUGACUAGAUAGAUGAGAUAGUCCCUGUCUACUGGCAGACCAUCUGAAAAACAUACCACAACAAGAAAAGCAAUUGAAAGAAAGGGGGGAGGGAGUAGACCCAGGAACUAGUGACAAAAUUCUUGUAGGUACAUUUUGUGUGCAUUUACCUUGCUGCAGAUGCAGGCCAAUACUUACGAGCAGGUUGAUGGCCCCCUUUGAGCAAUGCUUUUCCAAGGGGAAGGGGUUACAAUCUCUCAGUGUCUGUCCCGAGAAAUAAAAGGAUCUGGGCUGUAUUCUCCAGAUGCAUUUUAAAAAAAUGUUCUUGUGGGUUUUUUAAAAUGUAAACUGUUCUAGGAUAUUUUUUAUUGUUUAAAACAAUUUAGUAGCACAGAUUGUGAGCACAUCACAAAGGCUCCGCCAUCUGAAGAUACAUUCUGUAGAGUCAGACAAUAUACGUAUGUUACUAAUGUAUAUGGCAGGUAUCCAGCACAAUGAAGGCCAGAGCAGAAGAACCAACAUGCAAAGCGUGGGAAUGAGGUUGGGAAUGGCAAAGUUACCUUGUUUAUUUUUGCUGAUGUGAACCAUCUGACUUGCCACAAUGCUAGAACACAUGCUGUCUGAAAGAAAUAGAUGUUAGCAUGGAUCAAAUCUGAUUAUUGUGUGAAACAACCACAGCA